GACGAACGCUGGCGGCGUGCUUAACACAUGCAAGUCGAACGAAGUGGCGAACGGGUGAGUAAUACGUGUGUAACCUGCCCUCCUGUUUGGGAUAAGCCUUGGAAACGGGUUCUAAUACCGGAUAACGGGGGUUGGGCUCGGGGCCUAUCAGCUUGUUGGUGGGGUGAUGGCCUCCCAAGGCGGUGACGGGCAGCCGGGCUGAGAGGGUGACCGGCAACUGAGGGACGGAGAUACGGCCCAGAGGCCGAAGGGGGGCAGCAGUGGGGGAUAUUGCACAAAGCGCGAAGGACUGAUGCAGCGAGGCCGAGGUGGGGAUGAAGGCUUUCGGGUUGUAAACCUCGUGAGGUAUCGAACGGGUAGGUGGAGAAGAAGCGCCGGCUAACUACGUGCCAGCAGCCGCGGUAAUAC
rnacentral:rRNA from 1 species